rnacentral:misc_RNA from 1 species
CAUCAGAUCCAGCAAUGGCGCACGGACAUACAGCAGAUCCGGACGGACGCAACGGAGAACACGAAGCCGGCGAACUCCGGCGGCGGGGGCACCACGGUCCAGCUCUUGCUCGUCACAUCGAACACCCAGAGGGCGUGCCGGCCGCCGCAGCCGCCCACACCGUCGAGCGCGCCGGUGACGACCACCUUCUCGCCGCCGCCGACGCAGACGGCGCGCGCCGUGCCGGCCUUGAGCCCCGGCGGGUAGGGCCCCACCUCGCGCCACCCGCGGCGGGUGCCCAUCCACUCCAUGACGGCGUUGCCCUCGAUGCACCAGACGCGGCCGCGGACGACGACGUGCGCGGCGGAGGGCGGCGCGCGCACGCGCUCCAGCCUGCGCCAGGCCCGCGCCGCCGGGUCGAACCACUCGGCGUCGCGCUCGAACCCGCCCUGCCGCGCCGUGCGGUACCCGCUGACGGCCAGGAACCGGUCGCCGGCCACGGUGGCCAUGCCGUCGCACUCGUCGCGCUCCUCCGACAUGUCCGGGAGCGGGUCCCAGGCGUCGGCCUCCGCGUCGUAGGCCUCGGCCGUCUUGAGCGCGUUCUUGUGCUUGUCGUGGCCCCCCGCCACGUAGAUCCUGCCGCCGGCCUCGGCGCACGCGAAGAAGGAGCGCGCCGACCGCAUGGGCGCGCCGCGCCGCCACCGCCCCGUCGCCGCGUCCAGCACGUGCACGUCCGCCACGGGCUCGAAGGUCAGCGGGUCCCAGCCGCCCAGCACGGCCAGCCGGGUCCCCACCGCCGCGCACUGCGCGAACACCGGCACCACGGGCGGCGCGCCAAGCUCCCGCCGCCACUCGCCCGUCGUCACGUUGUACACCGCCACGCCGUACGCCGGGGCGUUGCCCGGCCCCUCGUCGCCGUCCUUGGGCCCGUCGUCGGCGGACGGGUUCCCGAACUGCAUCAGGUACACCAGGUCCUCGUUGGCGCCCGCCGCGGCGCGCGCCGACGCGAAGGCCGGCGCCGCGGCGGCGCUACGCCAGCCGCGGCAGACCCGGCGCAUCGCGCGGUGGGAGGCGUGCGGGACGCGGGCCAGGCAGUCCACGGCGACGUCGUCGGGGAUGCCGGGAAUCAGAUCCACGUGCUCCAGGCCGCCUCCACCCCUUGGGCUCCGCAUCUUGCCUUUUCCUUUGGCUUGCGUGCGAGCUGAUCUAAUCUCCUGUUCUCCUCUCUCCACUAGUUCUACUUCUCUUCACUUGAGAUGUGGGGAAUGGGAUGUGCGGCCUCGCAGACAGGCGAGUGGGCGAUUAAAUAGAGGGGUGUGCGUGCUACGUGGGACUCGGUUAUUGGACCGAACGCACAGCGAAGCCGAUAUAAAAAC